GACGAACGCUGGCGGCGUGCUUAACACAUGCAAGUCGAACGGUAAGGCCCUUCGGGGUACACGAGUGGCGAACGGGUGAGUAACACGUGGGUGAUCUGCCCUGCACUUCGGGAUAAGCCUGGGAAACUGGGUCUAAUACCGGAUAGGACCACUGCCUGCAUGGGUGGUGGUGGAAAGCUUUUGCGGUGUGGGAUGGGCCCGCGGCCUAUCAGCUUGUGGGUGGGGUGAUGGCGUACCAAGGCGACGACGGGUAGCCGGCCUGAGAGGGUGACCGGCCACACUGGGACGGAGAUACUGCCCAGACUCCUACGGGAGGCAGCAGUGGGGAAUAUUGCACAAUGGGCGCAAGCCUGAUGCAGCGACGCCGCGUGAGGGAUGACGGCCUUCGGGUUGUAAACCUCUUUCAGCACCGACGAAGCGCAAGUGACGGUAGGUGCAGAAGAAGGACCGGCCAACUACGUGCCAGCCGCCGCGGUAA
rnacentral:rRNA from 1 species